CUCUCUCUCUCUCACUCUCUCUCUCACUCUCUCUCCCUCUCUCUCGCCCUCUCUCUCUCUCUUUUGCCCUCUGCUCCAGCUAUCUGAAAGCGUUGCAGGAAUUGAAAAGAGUCAUUGUUUACCAGGAAGCACAACUCCAUGACAACUGCACUUAGAGAGAGAGAAGUCUGUGAGGGGAGAAUAAGAGCAAAGUGUCCUCUGGAUCUUUUUCUACACAAAGCGUGGAAGUGAAGCCUCCAGCUGGACACGUGCAACGCUGACAUUGCAGCACAGGAGGGCUGUGCUGAGGAAGCAUCAGCAGGACUGUUCUCCCUCCCUCUUCCUCACCUCGAGGACCCCCCCCCCAUGUCUCUCCUCAUCAUGUCACAUUACAGGAAAUAUUGAACUCCUCCGAGAGACGGCCACCUCUCGACUCCGCUGCAGUCGUCUGUUUCCUGGUGACCGAGUCAAGGUCGGCAGGUCGAGGAGACGAGACGGAGCUGACGCUGUAAGAGCUAAACUUCAUCACACACUGAAGGUUUCUCCUCUUCUUCCUCCUGUGAGGACGAAAACAUCCAUAUCAAGACUUUCAAGUCGUUUAAAUCGAGUGCCAUCACUUAUUGUGCUGCUGAGAACUGAACCCCCACGUGAACCUCCGGCCUUUAACCUGCAGAAAUGAACAGACAUGUACGAGGUUCAAACACAGCUUUAUUAGCAUCGAGGCAAUUUGUUGAGUCCAGAAUACGUUCCCUCCUCUCUCACCCUGACAUGUGGACUUCCUCUUCUUCUUCAUCAUUAGUUACAGAGUCAUGUGUACAUUAUCAUACAAACGCUUGCGUGAGUGAAUUACAUGGAGUUGCUUCGCGGAGAACAGAUUUUUUUUGUUUUGUAGCAAUAAUGAAAUGGUCAAGCUCAACAUCAAGACGCACGUGUGUGAGUUCUUUGUUUUUCAUCAAACAUCAGUGACAGUGAAGGAAACCAUCUGUGCAAACAAUAAAAACAUUUUACAAGA